CCUACGGGUGGCAGCAGUGGGGGAUAUUGCACAAUGGAGGAAACUCUGAUGCAGCGACGCCGCGUGAGGGAAGACGGUCUUCGGAUUGUAAACCUCUGUCUUUGGGGAAGAAAAUGACGGUACCCAAAGAGGAAGCUCCGGCUAACUACGUGCCAGCAGCCGCGGUAAUACGUAGGGAGCGAGCGUUGUCCGGAAUUACUGGGUGUAAAGGGAGCGUAGGCGGGCGAGAAAGUUGAAUGUUAAAUCUACCGGCUUAACUGGUAGCUGCGUUCAAACCUUCUUGUCUUGAGUGAAGUAGAGGCAGGCGGAAUUCCUAGUGUAGCGGUGAAAUGCGUAGAUAUAACUUAGAACCCCGAUAGCGAAGGCAGCUUACCAGACUGUUACUGACGCUGAAGCACGAGAGCGUGGGUAGCGAACAGGAUUAGAUACCCCAGUAGUC
rnacentral:rRNA from 1 species